UUCCGCAAUGGGCGAAAGCCUGACGGAGCAACGCCGCGUGAGUGAUGAAGGUCUUCGGAUCGUAAAACUCUGUUAUUAGGGAAGAACAUAUGUGUAAGUAACUGUGCACAUCUUGACGGUACCUAAUCAGAAAGCCACGGCUAACUACGUGCCAGCAGCCGCGGUAAUACGUAGGUGGCAAGCGUUAUCCGGAAUUAUUGGGCGUAAAGCGCGCGUAGGCGGUUUUUUAAGUCUGAUGUGAAAGCCCACGGCUCAACCGUGGAGGGUCAUUGGAAACUGGAAAACUUGAGUGCAGAAGAGGAAAGUGGAAUUCCAUGUGUAGCGGUGAAAUGCGCAGAGAUAUGGAGGAACACCAGUGGCGAAGGCGACUUUCUGGUCUGUAACUGACGCUGAUGUGCGAAAGCGUGGGGAUCAAACAGGAUUAGAUACCCC
rnacentral:rRNA from 1 species